rnacentral:rRNA from 1 species
GACGAACGCUGGCGGCGUGCUUAACACAUGCAAGUCGAACGGAAAGGCCCUGCUUUUGUGGUGUGCUCGAGUGGCGAACGGGUGAGUAACACGUGAGUAAACUCUCCUUGACUGUGGGAUAACUUCACGAAACUGGGGCUAAUACCGGAUAGGAGCUCCUGCAGCACGGUGGGGGUUGGUAAGUGUCGGCGGUUGGGGAUGGACUCGCUGCUUAUCAGCUUGUUGGUCGGGUAGUUGCUUACCAGGGCUGUGAAGGCUAGCCGGCCUUGGAGGGUUACCGGCCACAUUGGGACUGAGAUACGGAGCAGUAUCCUAUGGUAGGCAGUAGUGGGGAAUAUUGCACAAUGGGCGGAAGCCUGAUGCAGCAGCGCCGCGUGCGGGAUGACGGCCUUCGGGUUGUAAACCGAUUUGGCCGGUGACGAAGCGUGAGUGACGGUAAUGGGUAAAGAAGCACCGGCUAACUACGUG